rnacentral:rRNA from 1 species
AGAGUUUGAUCCUGGCUCAGAGUGAACGCUGGCGGCGUGCUUAACACAUGCAAGUCGAACGAGAACGGGUUAUAGCUUGCUAUAAUUGUCAGCUAAGUGGCGCACGGGUGAGUAAUGUAUAGGUAAUAUGCCUCUUACUAAGGGAUAACAAAUGGAAACGUUUGCUAAUACCUUAUACUCCUUAUUAACUAAAGUUAGUAAGGGAAAGAUUUAUUGGUAAGAGAUUAGCCUGUAUUGUAUCAGUUAGUUGGUGGGGUAAUGGCCUACCAAGACUAUGACGCAUAACUGGUUUGAGAGGAUGAUCAGUCACACUGGAACUGAGACACGGUCCAGACUCCUACGGGAGGCAGCAGUGGGGAAUAUUGCACAAUGGACGAAAGUCUGAUGCAGCAACGCCGCGUGGAGGAUGACACAUUUCGGUGCGUAAACUCCUUUUAUAUAAGAAGAUAAUGACGGUAUUAUAUGAAUAAGCACCGGCUAACUCCGUGCCAGCAGCCGCGGUAAUACGGGGGGUGCAAGCGUUACUCGGAAUCACUGGGCGUAAAGAGCAUGUAGGCGGAUUGAUAAGUUUGAAGUGAAAUCCUAUAGCUUAACUAUAGAACUGCUUUGAAAACUGUUAAUCUAGAAUGUGGGAGAGGUAGAUGGAAUUUCUGGGUGUAGGGGUAAAAUCCGUAGAGAUCAGAAGGAAUACCGAUUGCGAAGGCGAUCUACUGGAACAUUAUUGACGCUGAGAUGCGAAAGCGUGGGGAGCAAACAGGAUUAGAUACCCUGGUAGUCCACGCCCUAAACGAUGUACACUAGUUGUUGUGAGGCUAGACCUUGCAGUAAUGCAGUUAACACAUUAAGUGUACCGCCUGGGGAGUACGGUCGCAAGAUUAAAACUCAAAGGAAUAGACGGGGACCCGCACAAGCGGUGGAGCAUGUGGUUUAAUUCGACGAUACACGAAGAACCUUACCUGGACUUGACAUAGUAAGAACUUUCUAGAGAUAGAUUGGUGUCUGCUUGCAGAAACUUAUAUACAGGUGCUGCACGGCUGUCGUCAGCUCGUGUCGUGAGAUGUUGGGUUAAGUCCCGCAACGAGCGCAACCCUCGUCCUUAGUUGCUAACAGUUCGGCUGAGAACUCUAAGGAGACUGCCUACGCAAGUAGAGGAAGGUGAGGACGACGUCAAGUCAUCAUGGCCCUUACGUCCAGGGCUACACACGUGCUACAAUGGGAUAUACAAUGAGCCGCAAUACGGUGACGUGGAGCAAAUCUUAUAAAAUAUCUCUCAGUUCGGAUUGUAGUCUGCAACUCGACUACAUGAAGUUGGAAUCGCUAGUAAUCGUAGAUCAGCUAUGCUACGGUGAAUACGUUCCCGGGUCUUGUACUCACCGCCCGUCACACCAUGGGAGUUGAACUCAUUCGAAGCGGGGAUGCUAAAGUAGCUACCUUCCACAGUGGAUUCAGCGACUGGGGUGAAGUCGUAACAAGGUAACCGUAAGUCGUAACAAGGUAACCGUACGUCGUAACAAGGUAAUCGUAGAGUUUGAUCCUGGCUCAGGAAAGUCGUAACAAGGUAACCGUAAGUCGUAACAAGGUAACCGUA